GGCAUUAUAGCCUAGUGGUAUUUUCAGGGUGGGAUAAGGCUUAUGGACCAUUAGGUCCUGGGUUCGAUUCCCACAAUGUGUCA
rnacentral:tRNA from 1 species